UUUAGUAAGACAGAGACUGUCGGUCUGGUCGGAUAACUGAACCGCGUGCGCGAACAGCGAAUCUCCGGCGUUCAGCAGGAACGUGAUCUCUAGGCGCGAAUAACCCUUCGAACAGACGCAGAAAGAGGCGAAAAGUUUUUUGCAAAAAUCGACGUCUUCCGUGUUUUGCCGGGGUAAAUUGCAGGUUUGCUAGCCAAAUUGUUCGGUACGGUGCAGUCUGGCGCAAAUACGUUGGAGAAGAGCGUGUGUAUUGCCAAUCCUAUAGAGAAGGUUUUGCUUUUGGAAUUUAAUUGAGUGCUGAUUGCAAAGUGUUUAGAAAUAAUUAUAAUCUUCAACCCUAUAGCUGAAAUUCACUCGACCGUGUGCUGAUCUUGCGGACGAUCUUGAAAAUCCUGACCGUGGAUGGACGCCGGGUUUGUGCAACACGUCUAAGUGCAAUUGCAGAUCUUUACGUAUGUACAGCGAUCAGUAGAGUGAGGAUAGCAUACAAAAUGGGAAAAUUGCAGAAUAGGUUGUGCUUAGUGGCUAUGGUGAUUGUGGUGAUUAGUGCAAUUGCUUGUCAAGCAUAUCAGCAUUCCAACAGUGAUUAUAGUGAAAAUCUGAAUCAUCAACAUCCAACAAAACAGCAAGCUCACCGUCAUCAUCAUCAUCAACAUCAUCAGCAUCACCAGCAGCACCACAAACUGGACUCGGUGUCCUUAGGCAGCAGAAAUUCCUCUCGUUACUCACUAAUUACGGGCACGAGCAGUACCGGAAACAAUUAUUAUCAGCCCCCAACGAAUCAUUAUCACUAUCAACCUCACAAUACCGGCAACACUGAUCAAAGGAUCCAUCCUCAGCACCAUAAUCAUCAUGUCCAACCACAUAGACCGUCGAUAACAACGCAGCAUAAUGCCCGUAGGAUGGAUAAUCCGAGCAUCCGGUGGCGACCCACAAACACACCUUCCAAAGCCCCAAGGACCAAUCAAACUGGCAACACUACCGGAAUCCGACCGGUGAAACGAAUGUUGAAGACCAACAACCACCACCACAGGAACAUCACCGGGAAAAAUGUGUGCACCGAGAAGCGAACCGUCAGCGUACCAAUCUACAGAAAGGCGACCGUGAAACACUUUGUCCAACCCUGUUCGGACCCUAAGCUGUGCGCCGCCGUACGUACCAAUUAUGAGCCAACUUACCACCAGGUCAAGCGAGAGGUGUUCGCAUGCUGUCCCGGUUGGGAAACUACCGGCACUAUUGCCGAAGGGUGUCAUAAACCCAUUUGUCGAAACCAGUGUCGAAAUGGAGGUCGCUGCACGGCUCCGGAUACCUGUGCCUGUUCUACGGGAUUCUCCGGACCACAGUGCGAGGUGGACAUCAACGAGUGCAAACAGCACAAACCAUGUGACCAGACCUGCUACAACACGGAUGGAUCCUACUAUUGCACCUGUCGGGACGGAUUCAUGCUCCAGGCGGAUCGCCACAGCUGUAAGAAAAUUGAACCAACCAACGAUGUGGCGUUCGAAGCCAGAGAUAUGGAAAACGACGUCGAUUACGAUAGCCUCGAUACGCGAUUAACUAAACUAGAGAAGAUAAUCUUCAACGAGGAUCGCCGAUCGAUAUCGGAGACCCAUGAACUGAGCAAGAAGGUCCAGUACACGAUGGAUGCGGUUUCGUCGCUGAGGGCGCAAGUUUCCCGAUUGACGCAAAGGCUAUUUCCUACGGUGGACUAUGGGAACCGGAUCAACUGAUGGAGCUCGAGGAGUUGUCGGCGAUUUAGUUGCCGCCGCCAUCCCGUAGGCUGUUGAGCAAGUCCGGAAUCUCUCUUUGACGUAGGAUGUAUUUAUUGUAAAUUAAACGCAGUUAUUUUAAGUAAGAUUAUCACCAAAUGUGUGCUUCCAAGCCGAUUUCACCAGGUGCAACAAAACACCACUGCCCGCGAAGUCCCGUAGCUAGAGGUUGUCCAGUCCAUGUGCAACGCCGUUCAGGAGCAAACAUUCAUCAAGGAAAGUCAUCGAAAUAAAACACCUAACGACGUGAAUAUCAGAUUGCUUACAAUGUUGUAUUUGUAUGCAGCAAAUCAGGACGCGAGAAACUCUGAGUAGCAAGUGUUUGCCUCACCGUAGAUAUUUAUUGUCCAUAUCAAACUAAAGGAGCGUGUGUUCUGUAGAAGAAAGACAAAACCGAAGGUCAUCGCGAUCAAUCAUCGAAGAGU